rnacentral:misc_RNA from 1 species
GUAGCUUUUCGAUAAUAUCCGGGAAUUGCCAUUUGAUGAAUAUAUUGGUCUUCUCUAGACUCCCGGAACUUCCGGAAUAUUAAUAGGAAAUAGAGAUGAUCUAAUAGCUAAAGUCUUCUGUUGCAUUAACUGAGACAGCGCUUCUGUUCGGGGGGAACUGUUAAGCUACGAACCCAUUCAGAAGAGGCUGAAAUUAGAUGCCGGGCACGUCUAAACUAAAAGACAGGAAAUCAUCCAGCAGUGGUUCCGAAAUUCGAAACAUGCCGAAUAUCAAAGUCUUCAGCGGAACUUCGCAUUCCGAUCUAACCAGGAAAGUCUGCGACCGACUCGGUAUUGAUAAAGGAAAGGUUGUCACAACGAAAUUCAGCAAUGGAGAAACUUGUGUGGAGAUAGGAGAGUCUGUACGUGGUGAAGAUGUCUACAUCGUACAGAGUGGAUGUGGAGAAGUCAACGACAUGUUGAUGGAAUUAUUAAUCAUGAUCAAUGCUUGCAAGAUUGCUUCUGCUUGUAGAGUAACUGCUGUCAUACCAUGUUUUCCAUAUGCUCGCCAAGAUAAGAAAGACAAAAGCAGGGCCCCUAUAUCUGCAAAACUUGUUGCUAACAUGCUCUCUGUUGCUGGAGCUGAUCACAUCAUCACAAUGGAUCUGCAUGCUUCUCAGAUUCAGGGAUUUUUUGAUAUACCAGUUGACAAUUUGUAUGCUGAACCUGCUGUGUUGAAAUGGAUCAAAAGUAACAUUCCUGAAUGGAGGAACUGCACAAUAGUUUCCCCUGAUGCUGGUGGUGCAAAACGUGUUACAUCCAUAGCUGAUUGGUUGAAUGUUGAUUUUGCCCUGAUUCAUAAAGAAAGGAAAAAAGCUAAUGAAGUUGCUUCAAUGGUUCUUGUUGGAGAUGUCAAAGACAAAAUUGCUAUUUUGGUAGACGACAUGGCAGACACUUGUGGCACUAUUUGUCAUGCUGCUGGAAAGUUGCUUGAAGCUGGCGCAGUUAAGGUGUAUGCUAUUUGCACUCAUGGUAUUUUCUCUGGCCCAGCCAUUUCAAGAAUUAACAGUUCUCAGUUUGAGGCAGUUGUGGUUACUAACACAAUACCACAAGAUGAAAGGAUGAAACAAGCACCAAAAAUUCAGUGUAUUGAUAUAUCGAUGAUUUUAGCUGAGGCUGUACGGCGUACUCACAACGGAGAGUCUGUAUCUUACCUGUUUUCCAAUGUGCCAAUGUAGAUGCUGUUGCCAGUUGAUUGACACUUUUAUAAUGCAGGUUCUUAUAAAAGAAACAAAGAAUAUCUUCAAAGAAAACAUGCAUGUGUAUUGAUAUAUCAAUGAUGCUUGCCGAAGCCAUCAGGCGGACACACAAUGGCGAGUCUGUCUCCUAUUUAUUCAGCCAUGUUCCUCUCUAACUGCUGCUACCUUCCUUGCAAAAUUUAGUACCUUUUCAAAAUUACUUUUGUCAUUAUUUUCCCCUAUACCAUGUAUCAGAGCAAUACUUUUUCAUGAUUUUUUUUUUUUUUUUAAGAAAAGGGAAGAAAAAAAAAGGGAAAUCACUACUUAGUUUUAGAGUGAAAUCUCAUUUUCUCUCCCUGUUUGCAUUGUAUAUUUAUCUAUUUCUUUAUCAUUAUUCCAUUUUUUUUUUAGCUUUUUCCGUAAAGUAAUGAAAAUGAAAUAUAAAUAUACAACACAGAUAGAGAGAUAAUAGAAAUUAAAUUUAUUGGGUGUGUUGAAAACGUGUUACAUAAAAUGGAGUGUUUGAGAAAACUGUAGGGAGGUUAAACUCUUUUUCCUUUAAUUCUCAUUAGUUGUUUGAAUUGUGUUAUAUUUCUCAUAUAUAUAUAUAUACAUAUAUAUAUAGUAUAAUUUUAGGUUUAGCGAACAGUUUAGGUGAAAUAGAUAUAUAAUAUCUCAGAAUUCUCUUGUGUUCAACAAUGAACGGUUUUGUUUAGAUAUAUAAUCAAAAUGGUUGAGAUUUUAUAGUUUUUUUGUUGUUUUUUUUUUUCUUGGCCAUUUUGAAAAGUUUAAUAUAUUUACUCAUUUGUUAGUCUAGCGUUAGUGCAUGUAAUGUGUAAUAUGUUUAUAUAUUAUAUUAUAAUUCAUAUAAGGAUGGUGGACUGGCUGGAUUGUUAGAGCAUCGGGCAUAUAAUAUUAAUGUCUUGCAGUGUUUGUCCUGCUCUUUGCAUUCUGAGUUCAAAUCCUGUCGAGGUCAACUUUGACUCUCUCACCUGCUAAAUCAGAAAGUACCAAUCAAGUUCAAGGGGUUGAUAUAAUGGACUGGACUGUUUCCUCCCUCCUCUCCUAAAACGUUAGAAACAAUUAUAUAAAUAUUCCUUUAUAGUGUCUAAACUUCUGUAAACAAGAGUAAUCAUUACACCUAUAUAGACACUAAUUUGACUUUGAAAAAAAGAAACAAGAAAUUCACAUUGCUUGAAUCAUGUCUAUCAUUAUUUGCUGGUCAAUGACAGUAACAAUUACACUAACUUGAGUGUGUGUCCUUUUCUCUCACGACAAAUAUAGCAUAGAAAUGUUCAACCUUUUGUUUUUUAACUGAAUUUAUACAUGCAUAUUGAUAAUUCUUGGUCCCAACUUUGAUCAACAGCUUGCUAUACUAGAUACUGGUAGAAAUGGCUUAAUCUGUAAAAAUGACUUAAUUUGUAGGUGCUAGAUGGCUGAUGAGUGAUGUUAGUCUAAGUAAAAUAUUUCCUUGUCACAUUCUAGAUAACAUAACAAAAAUGGAAGCACAACCUCAGUAGUGUGGUAUAUAUUCAGUCAGUUGCAUGUCGGUAUGGCAAAUACUGAAUUACUUGAUUCAAGUCCUGUUGGUAGUGUGUUCCUCUGCUUAACCUCAAAUUGUUGUAUAGAUGGGUAUAAUGUUUAGAUUUUAAGAUAUCUCUGCAGUUCUUUGGCAUUAUUUGUAAUACAAAAUCCUUAGGAAUGUCUGUCAUGAACUUUUAGCAUUGGAUGCUUUUUAUAGCCUUGCGUUUCAAUAUAUGAUUUAAUAAAGCAGAGGUAAAGCAAUGUAUUCACAUGAUGUACUUUGACUGCUGCUACAUGAGACUCCAAAUGCCCUCUGUCAUCUCAAAAGAUGAAGUUACUCUUUAUAAGAGUUUAUAAGAGUUCAAGGAGUUCAGCUUGUAAUCACACGGGUGUUAAUGUCUAUCAUCACAACAAUCGCAAAAUAAUUCUCUAAUAAGUCUCAGUAUAUCUGGUUGAAAGUGGUAGCUUUUAAAUGUAGUAACUUUUUAACUUUUACUUAACAUUGAGCUUUUUUUCUUGUACUAACAAUGUCAUAUUGUUUUCAUAGCUGGUAUUCUGGCUGUUUGAGAGCAAAAGACAUUCUGGUUUCUGCUGGUGAAAAUUUAAAUGAGACAUGAUGAUAGGUCAAUAGAAUAUAAGAUAAAACACUUUGAUGGCUAAUAUGUAGGAUUUUCUUCACAAUGCAUUGACCACCAUCACAUCAAAACAAAGAUGAGAGGGCAUGAUCCAGCUAUUGUUAAUUACCUCUUUGGGCUGGCAAUAUACAUUGUUCCAACAAGUUGUAAAGUAGUUUCCAUAGCCAUUAAUUUAGUUGAUACAGGAACUACCAUUAGCUGUAUUCACACAACAGUUCAUGAACAAAUAUACAAAAUAAAAAUUCAGGGUGGUUGGGGUGGAAGAAUACAUUUAUACAUCUGUUAUAUUGACAGUUCUUAUUGCGUUCAGAAUGAUUGAAUUUUUCUGGAAAUAUUCCUAUCACUCAUACACACACACACACACAAAUAUUUUGAACUUUCCCCUUUUCUUUUUGUCAUCAAAAAAUAAAUGCAUCAUAUUUUCUCACCACAACUUGAUGUGAUAAAUCCGUACAUAAAUACACAGUAAUUGAUAUUACAUUUAAUAUACACACUGUUGCAUUUUAACAAUUUUUACAAAAUUAUCUACCUCUUAGCAAUCAUACACAUAAAUGCUCUUACACACAAACACAUAAAGCUCAAACAAUAUUUUCUUUGUUAAUCUGCCUGGCUGGCUUGUAAUACUGUUAUCAAAGAUUUUUUUAAAAUCUGUGGAAGCCAAAAUUUGUGAGUGACUUUGAAUAUUUAUAAUAGAAUCUGAGGUUGACUUUGUGAGUUAUCCUCUUCCUAUUCUUUAAACUUGUUUGAGAAAGUUCCAACUAAAGUUAUCACAUUCAUCUGUUCUGUUCCUUUUACCUAUUUUUGAAAGAAUAUUUAACAACAAAUUUAAUUUUGAACAAAAUUAAGUAUUGGUCAACAAUCUACAACAAUAAUAUUGAAGGAUGUUGCUUAUGAUAGGGAGUCUCUGCAGGUUUUUUUUUUUAUUAUUGCUAUCAUCCUCCAAAUAUAUUUGUGGAGAAGCACAUAUUAAUCAAAUACAUUAUGAAUAAAGGAAACAAAAAAAAAACCAACAGUAAUACACUGGGGG